rnacentral:lncRNA from 1 species
AAAUUAUGAAAUCAUUAUAUAAUCAAGACAAGAUAUUGGAAUAUAAAUUGAAAAUGAUUGUGAUUUUCAAAAAAUUAUUGUAGAAUUUUGAAACUUACACUAAUUUCCCAAAUACUGGAAAUUUUUUUAUUUCCAUCACUAAAUUUGAAAAAAUAAUAAAUUAGGGUAUGUUACCCCAUCAGCGAAAAAAAAUCUCCACCAAACGACAACAACAUACACUAAGAAAAUCCAGUAUUUAAAAAAAUUGCAAUAAAGAAAAUAUUUUGAUGUUUCUUCGAUAUUUGAAUAUUUGUCGUGUGCGUUCUUACUCGAAAUCUUUUGAUCGAUGCUUCAUUCAAACCUUACGGCGUCUUAUUCGAGGUCGAUUUAAAAAUCUCCCCAAACAUAACACUAGAAAUUUCACCAAGAAAAUUAUUAAAACAAUACCGAUCUUCAGCAAUUUCAUCUCUUCCUCUAUCUCCAUCAGCAGUUCAUUUGUGUGAUUAUCCAUUAGAGAAGCAACUUGCAAUAGAUUUCAGUGAUUAUAUAGUUAAUAGAGGCGACUUGCAAUAUAUAUAUAAAUAUGAAGGUAGUUAAAUUAGUCAAGUUUAAUUUGGUUUAAUUACAUUUCUAAUUGGACUCUCUAACUAAUAAUUUAACUAACCAACUUAACGAAUCAUCUCAUAUAUCUUGCUUCUUGCUAAUUGAAAAAUGAUCAAUCUAACAGUCCAAGAAAUUAAAAAAAAAGGAAAUUAAAAAAAACUUGUUCAUCAAUAAUAUAUAAAUUAAUUAAUGCAUUUAUGUAAAGAUUAAACAUAUUAAAGUCGUUUAAUUUUGAUUCUAGAUCAAAUUUUAGGCCUUAAAUUAAUUUUUUAGUUAUUUUUAAAAUAUAAGUGCGAAAUGAUAUCGAUAGAUUAAUUAUUAUUUUUAGAUUAAAUCACUACAAACCCGAACCGUAAUCUUUUGAGUAUUUGUAACGGAAUUUUAGUGACGACCAAAGUUACUUUUUUUUAGAUAUUUGUAACGGAAUUUCUAAUUGUACCCGCCCUCUAACUAAUAAUUUCUAAAAAGAAUUUCCGUUAUAAAUACAAAAAGAAAAUGAUUGAUUUUUUAAUCAUUUCUAAAUUUAUUCAUCGGAAUAAUAUUGAAUAUAGUUUAAUUUAUUUGAUUUUUUUGGUAAUAAAAAAUAGCACAAAUUAUGAUAUAAUUAUUUAUUUAUUUUAUAAAUCUGCAUCACUAUUAUCGGAUUGAGAGUGUGACAUGGGGCUUUGGUGGUCAUCGAUGUUAUCAGAUUGAGAGUGUGGACUAGGGCUUUGGUGUCCAUUGUUGUUAUCUGUAGACUCCUUUUUGUAUUGAGGAAGACUAGUCGAGGUUUCUGAGCGGGAACUUAUAUCCUUGUAGGACUCGACGUACAUAUUAUCUUCUUCAGAAUAGCGUAGUUUCUUCUGGUUGAAUGUUUCAAGUUCGUCUAGCUUGUCAUUGUCCUCUUCUUCUAUCUCCAUGAAGAGUUGGGUCCACUUGAAGAGUUGAGUGAAGGUCUUUACUUUUGGGACCUUCAAACUCUUAAUCAGUGGGGAAUAGGGUAUUAAACCCUUGAUGUACCCAAUGAUGACUGUGCUUGGGAUUAACUCAUUCACUUCUGUCAUCAUCAAAGUAAAUUUUAUCGUGUAAUCCUUGAGGGACAUGUCCCCUUGUCGGAAUGCUAAUAGAGUGUUAGUGAUGUGUUUGAUCUAUAUCAUCCCCACGUGUUGGGUGAUGAACUUCAGAGAUAGUUCUGCGAAGAAGGUGAUCGAUCUAACUGACAGACUGGAAAACCAUCAAUACGUGUUGCCCUUGAGAGUGCCGGGAAAAGACCGACACAAUAAUCCAUUAUCGAUGGUUUGCAGUUCCAAAAUAUUCAAGUAGAGGUUGAUAUGAUCCUCUGGAUCGGUCUUCCCAUAGUACGAGUCUAUCUUCAGAGAUCGGGAAAAUCGUGGGAAGGGUUUUCUCAGAAGGUCCCUAUGAAAGGGUGCCUUUUUUGCCCUGAGAAAUUCGUGGACUGUCUAUAUAUGAUGUGCUUGUCUGUGAGUUUACGAAGAAUUUCCUUGGUUACCCUUUUUAUGAGAGUGGCAUCGUAAUCCGCACAAGUCCUGGAACUGGAAGGCACAUCCGAGUGAUGUGUCGUGGAUUUGUGAUGAUAACUGAGAUGCUUGUGUCUUUGUGUUCUCCUAAAAUCGUCUCCCGUAGGAGAGUAAUGCGAGUCGGACUUAGAGUGUCUUGAGUUUGCAGGAUUCUUUACCUUUUUAUCCUUCAACUCCUUUAGCUCAUUGGCUAUCCUUGAUUCGGAUCGACGACGUAAACUUAACUUAGUCUUCCCCAAAGAUGGGGAAUGGUGUUAGUUAGACUUGUUUGUCACAUCUCGUGUGGUGAUUCGGCUCUUUGAAGCCUUUAGAUUAUUUAUUUGUUUCCCGAACUCCAACAUAAGAGUUUGCAUUUGCGCAAACUGCUCCUGUAUUGUGGGAGUUGGGUCCACUCCCCCAUUCAGCAUGAGUGGUAUGGCCACUACGCUAUUUGGCGGGAGUGAUAGGGGCACCUCAACAUCUUGUGCUGACAGUGGUGCAUCAGAGACUGGUACGAUACUGGAACCAGCCCUCUUGCUAGCAGUUGUUGCCUUAGUAGCAGAGACAACAACGACAACAGUCUUCUGACUCUUAUUAACGAGAACCAUAGAUGUGAUGAGUGCCUGCCCUCCUGGGUGUUACAAAAUAUGAUUUUUUUUGUAUAUUAUUUCUUUACACUUUUGUAACCCAAUUAAAGAAUACUAUUAUUUUCCAAAUUUUAAGAUUGGCAAAAAAUAUGGGAAAUUUUGGCAGAAAAAUGUGCCGUCAAGAGUGAUUUUGGGAGGAUCCCUGACACUAUUUUGAAAUGCUGCUCUUUGGUUUUCUUAGACAAUUCUUUUUUCGAGUGAUAUGUUGUCUCAGAAUCCCGAGUUCGUAUUUGGUUAUUUUAGAAAUGGACCGACGCAAUCAUUGAAAGGGAAAAUAUGUUGGUGUACAGUUUUGUAUCAUUAGUAUUCUCCUCGAAAAUAAUGGUUUGUGACAAGGCAUGUACCAUCAGCUCUGCUCUCAAUCUAUAAACAGGAGAGGAUUUACUCAAUCUAAGCAUGAUUGAGAGCUCAUGCCUGCUAGCAAUGUUUGAUCUUUCUUGAGAUUUUGAGGCCUCAAGCCUUCUCUAAGACUCAAGAGCUAACCAUGAGAACUCGAAGGCUAACUUUAAGAACCCGAGAGCUAAUCUUGUAAAUCCAAGAGCUAACCUGGAGAAACCGAGAACUAAUUAAUCUUGAGAACACAAUAGUUAACCUUGAGAAUCCAAGAGCUAAUCCUGAAAACCCAAGAGCUAAGCUAAGUCAAACACUAUACAUAUUGUUGACAAUGUUCUCUCCUACAAAAUAAUACAUUCCAAUCCUUCUCUUCUUCUGACGUCUCCUCCGAUUACUACACCGAUUCUAUCAUUCCUCUCCAAAUCUUACAACGUAUUAACUUCACGUUGCGGCGGUGGCGUUACUGACAAUGUCGCGACUUCCUCAAGUCGGGGGCGGUCGAAGUGCAGCGGAGUGGCCAGAUUGUCGCUAGGGUUUAUCGCCCACAAAAGAAAGGGGCUUUUACCCGCUAUAACGGUCACUAAGAGGGAAGAAGGAGAUUUGCUGUAAUUCUUUAGUUAAUCUGAGUAAAAGAGAUUAACUGUUUGUAUUGAAUUAAUUAGAGUGUUUAAUUACAACGUUUAUUAAUACAAAAUUAUUCAACUAAUCUCAUAACUAACUAAUUUGAAAUAAAGAAGACCUGGCCCAUUGUAAUUGAUCCAUUAAGAAUCUAUUUAAAAUAUUUCACUUUGACCCUUCUACUUUUUUAAUUCUUUUGUCACGAGUCUUGGAAUAAUUGCCUACAUAGUGACACCUGAACUCAAGUUAGUUUUUAUAUCAAAAACUCUUAUUUAUUACAUUUAGGUCAUGGUAACGUUUUCUUGAAAUUUUUGUAAACAACCCCCUGUCGGUUGAUAACUGGUAGUUUAUUUAGUUGUACCAUAACCUUAUAAUUGUUUUAUUUCACUUAAAUCCUUAGUUUAUAUUUCUUGGCAAAAUUACUGUUUUUACCCUGGAUUUUCAGUAUAUUCUUAUACAACGUUCCUUUUUAAAUCUUAUAAUAAAAAUAAGUUGAUGAAGCAAUCAAAAAUGUAUCAUCCGGAUUUUCAAUCAAAACUAAUUUAAUUUUUGUUCACAAAUUCACAAAGCGCGAAAGAAGUCUUUUUAUUGGAAUUAUUGUAAAAACAUUAACACUAAUCAUUAUCAAAGAUAUAUAUAUAUAUAAACUUUCUUUAAAAAAUUAAUUUCACUUUAUCUUUGUUCAAUCUACAUUUCAGCUUUUUUCCAUUUUGAAGGAAGGGACAAUGAUCAACAUAAAUGGAUUCAAGAUGAGAGCAACCGUCUAAAAUAGCGAGCAAACCAUCAUCAUUGAGAGGAAUAUACCUGAUAUCUAAUUUCCGCAAACAACGCAUAUAUUUAGCUAUUGCAAGUGCCACAUGAUUGUUGGAUUUUCUAGUUCUAGAGUAAGCACUACGAUUAAAUAGAUAAAAUUCCUUCAGAUUCGGGCAUAAAUCACCAAUGAUUUUAAUUUCAACUUCAGUCAAGAUGAUACAGCAGUUUAAGACAUCAAGAACUUCCAAGAACGGACAACUCUUACAAACUCCAAUUACUCCAUGGUCUUUAACAUUAAAACAAAAGUUGAAGCGAAGUUGUUUGAGUAAUGGAAAACUUUUACAAACUUCGAUUAAAUCCUCAUUCGUCAAACCUUGAUAAUUUUGAAAUUGAAGACAUUUGAGCAAAGGAGAACUAAUAGAUAAGAAAAAAAACCAAGUUAAACAAAAUGAAUAUUUGGUUGCAUUGCAGAUAGGGGUGUCAAUACCCGCCUCGGUGACACCUCUAAUUGCAUACUUAUAGUUGUAAAAAUUAUAAAAAAAAAACCGUCAAAUACCUUUUUGCGACGUAUUGUAGGAGCAUGAGUGGUGACCAACAACGUAUACUAGGUGGAUAGAAAGAAAAAUCAAAACCCGCAUUCUCGAUCGAAAAUUCUUCCAAACAACCCGCGCUCCGAUCAACUAUAGCGACUCCAAUUUUCAAUAAUUGUGUGUAAGAAAAACGUUUAUUGGUAAGUUUCCAUUCACUUAUACGUAGACAUUUACAUAUGUGAGAUUCUUGUGCAAGCCCCCACCAUGACCGGCAUACAAAUUGUACCGAUACAAAUAUACAAAUCGUAUCGAUCUUAUUGAAUAUUCUUGAAAGAAUAUCCAAUGGAAGCUCUGCCCAGUCACGAAAAUCCUUGGCUGCUAGUAGUUCAUCUGUAUGACAAUCCAUUGGGAAGAUAUGUAAAUAGGUUUAACAGAAUAUAUUUAUGAACUUUGAUAUUGAGUUACAAUAUAUAUGAUUCUCUUACUAGUUAGUAGACUCUCUUAACUAACUUUACAAACUAAGAAACUUAACUACCUUAACUAAUUUUGUUCUUUCUUUAAGAGAGAAAGACUCAAUUAUAACAAAUAACUAAAAUUAAAUAAAGAUUAUAAAAGUAUUCACAUAUACUUAGAUUAAUGGAUCUCAUCAGUUAAUUACACAGUCCAUACUUUAUAACAUUAUUUAAAUUAUAAUUCACAUAUAGUCUACAAUUUUAACAUCAACUCACUUGCCCAUAUAACCCCCAACAAAAUGUAAAGGUUGAGAGAAAACAUAAAUGUUUACUCAAUAUAGCAAGGUCAUUACAUAUACAAGCCAAUAUACCUCUAAAAUACUGGGGAGAGUGUGUAUUGGCUGCAACCUUUUUGAUAAAUAGAACCCCAUCCAGGUUCUAGAAAACAAGACUCCUUAUGAAGCCUUACACCAACAAAAACCAAAAUCAUGCUAUACACACUACAAGAAAAUAGGGAAACAGCCACGGCCAAGAUCAUUGGCUAAAUGAUUUAGCCACGGGAGGGGCCGUGGCUGUAGGUCUGGUGGCUACUGAUUUUUGGCCACGGAAAUGAUUUUCAUAUAUUAUAUAUAUUCAAUAUUGGCAUUUAUAUAUAUAUAUUGGCUUUUGCUAGCCGUGGCUAAGUCCGUGGGCGUAGCCGGCCUGUUUUCUUGUAGUGACAACAAUUCAUAACAGAGAACAUAAGUUCUCACCAAGAACUUUUAAAAGAAUAUUUAUGGGAUAUCCUCCCAACAUAAAAGGCUACUUAGUAUUUAGAAUAGAAGAUCCGAAAUUUCAUAUAAGUAGGGAUGUGGUCUUCAGAGAAGAUAUUUUCCUUUUUCAAGAAAUAAAUCCAAAAUUUAAGAAAAGUGAAAUAAUAAAUAAUUUUUCAAUACAAGAAAUUUUUUAUGAAGAUUAUGAUAAUUAUCACUCUGAGGUCGAUCAUAACUAAUCCUAAAAAUAAGGAUAAUAUUCAAAAGCAUAAAUUGAAUACUAAAAUUCAAAAUAAAAUGAAAAAUGGAUCAGAUAUAAUUGGAAAUAACCAAACUGAUUCUAAAACCAUUCUAAACACACAAUAUGAAUCAGAUAUAACUGGUAAUACCCCAGUCUGAUCAUAACCAAAUGCAUAAAGCAAGAAAUAACUUAAUCAGUGAUCCAGGACAGAAAAAUACUUGAAAAGAAUGAUCAAAAUCAAACAUAUAUUCAAGAAUCACAGAGUAAGGAAAUUCUAGAACAAAAAGAAGAACAUGAAGAAAAUCAUGUUCAAAAUCAAUCUACUUUAGAAAAUCUUGGACAAGAUCAAGAAAUGCACAAUCAAAAUGAAACAACAUUAGGAAAAUCGAAUUCUAUUGUAAAAUCAAAACAAACAAGGCUAGGAAGAAUCAUAACAAAACCUCGCAAAUUAAUAUAAAGAUUGAUGAAGAUUAUCCAAACAAAAAUAAAUAUCUCAUGAGUAAUUAUGUAUCUUAUCAUAGGAUAAAUAGAAAACAUAAAGAGUUUCUAAUAUAAAUUAAUUACAAUCCACAAUGAACCAAACACAUUCAAUGAAGCUUCAAAUAACCCAAUUAAGAUGGGUUGAAGCCAUGGAAAAAGAGAUGGAGACACUCAUCUCAAAUAAAACUUGGACCUUGACAUAGCUUCCCAAAGGAAGGAAGGAAGUAGGUUCAAAAUGGGUAUAUAAGAUAAAAUAUAAGUUCAAUGGAGAAAUAGAAAGAUACAAAGCAAGACUUGUAGCCAAAGGCUUUUUUCAAAAAGAAGGUUUUGAUUUUUAUGAAACCUUCGCACCUGUUGCAAAAAUAACAACGGUAAGAAUUCUAAUAUCGAUAGUUGCACAAAAAAGAUGGAAUCUUUAUACAAAAAUUGAUGUAAAUAAUGUUUUUCUUUAUGAAGAUUUACAUGAAGAAGUUUACUUAAGACCACCUCAGGGAUUACUCUAAGAAGGAGACAAGAAGGUUUGUAAACUUAACAAGUCUUUAUAUGGGCUCAACCAAGCAUCUAGAAACUGUUUAAAAAAUAAAAAUAUAGUAAAUACGGAGAGGCACUAAUGUUGCGCUAAAAUAUAGUAGAAACUGUUCAAACAAUCACAGGUGCGCUAAAAUAUUUAUUCUGGGUUGAUGCUACAAACAUUGAAGAUUAUAGUAAAUACAGAGAGGUUGUUACAUUCGACACAACUUAUAUAACAAAUAGAUAUAAGUCAGUAUUUGUUAUGUUCAGUGGAGUUAACAAUCAUCUAAGUUCAAUAUUAUCUGCUGCAACAAUUAUUUCAAAUGAGAUAUCAGAUUCUUUCGUUUGGUUAUUCGAGGAAUUCAAAAAUUGUAUGAAAAAAGACCCUAAGGCUAUAAUAACCGAUCAAGAUGGUGCAAUGAAUGUGGCUAUAGAAUGGGUAUUUCCAAAUACUUUCCAUCGAUUAUGUAAGUGGUAUAUUACAUACAAAAUGUGUGACAAAAUUAGGUCAGUUUAUAGAAAUAAAAAAGAAAUAGAAAGGUUCAACACUAUACUGAACAUGUCGGAUACAAUUGAAAAUUUCAAAUGUGAUUGGGACUUGUGGACAAAAGAUAAUAUAUAACAUUCAGGACAAUGCAUGACUAGAAUCUAUGUUCCAAAUUAGACGAAAGUGGAGUCCAGUAUUCAUGAGGAAUCAUUUUUUUUGGAGGGAUGCAAAACACACAAAGAAGUGGAGGUAUGAAUGCUAUUUUGAAAUCAAAAAUAUAUAAAAAAAUCUACAUUAUAUGAAUCAGUAGGAUCUCUGGAAACAUUAUUAAAGGAACAAACAAUGUGAAUUGGAUCAUAACGAUGUAGAUGCACCACCUCAUACAAUAACAGCUUUGCCUAUUGAAUGAUCUUUACUUCAAGUUUAUACAUCUGAAACUUUCCUACAGUAUCAGAUUCAAGUGCAAAAAAGUUUAAGCUACUACAUGAAUAAACUUGUAUCACUAAACAUGUUCAUUUAAUACAUGAUAUUUACACACGAAAUUCUAAAAUAAUUUCAUUAAAAACGAAAUUUAUUUUCUAGAAUCCAAACACAUAUCUAGCGGUGGGAUUAUACAGUCAAAUAGUUUCAGCAAAGAUAUCAGUGGGAGUGGACAACAUCGCAAGAUAUAGCUGUCAUCUAUUAUCUUACAAAGGAUUUCAAUGUAGACAUCUAAUUUGCAUGCUCAGAAACAUUGGGGUAACAACAAUUCCUAGUGACAUGAUACUUGAGAGAUGGAAAAAAAUAUUUCUGAAUCGGAUCCGCUACCUCAUACAUUGUACAAAUCAAAUCAAAGGAAUUGAAUCUUCUUAUUACAAGAUGUUCAAAUAUCUCACGUAUUUCGGAAGAAGCAAAUGAGGAGGGUAAAAAAGAAUUAAGAAUCGCAAUUGAUAGAUUGGAGACGAAAUUUGGAGUACAAAUAGACAAACCGAUAAACGGUUCCAUAACAAGAUUCGUGGAAAGAUCAAAUUGGGUCACUGUAAUUGGAAAUACAAAAACCACAAAAAUAAAAGGAAGAGGUAUAAACACAGGAAGACUGGGGAAAGCAGAUUCAAGAUACAAAUCUUAUAGAGAAAUUUUAAUACCCAAGAUAAAAUGUUACGGUAAAUGUAGGCAACCAGACAAUAACUCUAGAAAUUGUAAUGUAGAUAAAGAAGAUCGCCAGGGAUCACAGUGCAUCAUAGAAGCACAAGUCUGGAAUAUAUCAUUUCUAAUCUUGGGGACUUAUUUUCUGGUCCAAGAAAAUGGGUAGAAUCCUUCAAAUAUACCAUAUGAAACAUGACGUAAACCUUCAAUAAUGUAUAACCCGCCAUCACAACCUGCAUCCUUCUCCUGUGGAAUAAGCUAGCCAAUGAAUAAGUUUGUUCAUCUUUAAUAUUUAGUAUUUCGCAAAAGAAGUAGUUAAACUUUUUGAUCUGCAAUUCGGAAAGGAAUAAUGAAUUAUCAAAUAGAAUAAAAUUCACAGUCGCGGCUUCUUCAUUCUCUUUUCCUAAAAUCUUAUAAUUAGAGUCAUAAUGAAUGUAUAAAUUAUCAUAACUAUACCACAUAAAAAAUGGCAGUGAUCAUUAGUGUGGAUAGGAAUGAAAACAAAUCUAAUCGACUUCUUCAAAAAAUUCUUCGAGAUAACUGCAUUUUUAAACCUUUUUAGUCUAACUGCUUCAGAAUCCUCUGAACUACCACGUGUUAAACAACGAAUAUUGGUAUGUAUCAUCAAAUAUAUCUUAUUUCAAUAUUUUAAGUGAUGGAGUGUUGUAUACUUUUAGCUUCAUCCCUUCGACCAAUAUAACAUUAUAACAAUCUACAAGCUACAGAAAUUUGAAGAAAAAUUAGUCUAUUUCAAAAAGAGUAUGGUUAAAAAAAUGAAUUAGGUUCAAACAAACAUACAUUUGUACCAUAAACUUAGGCAUGAGAUAGUUGUGUCAAAGUAACAAACCUUUUGGAUCUAUACCUUUUAUCAUUAAAAAUAAUCUAAUUAUUGAUAUCAGUGCAGAAUCUAAAGAACUAGUAAACAAUGUUGAAAACUAAUUAUUGAUAACUGUAUUUGGGCAGUUAGGCGGUUACUGCCCAAAUGACCAGAUUACCCCCAUAAGAAUCCCUAUAAAUAGGAGGCAUCCCCAUUUAUUUUCUUUAUAUAGUCCAUUUCCUGAAAUGGGUUCUUUUACCUUUGCAUACCUGUAAAAUAUAAUAUUAUAAACACGCAAAAUAACAUAAGGGUUAUUAUUAAUACAGUUCCAAUGAGUAUCAUCUAUAUUGAUUUUAUUACUACGAUUAUCAGUUUUUUUGUCUUUUGCGGACCAUAUCUCGAUAUCAGACAAGUAUCACAUUUUGAGAAGAACAGACGAGUUAGAUCAAAUAUCUCAUCUGAAACUAGUCUUAUUAUUUAAAUCACAAUAGUUUUUAAUAAUUAGUACAUAAUAUAUUGUCUCAUUUUAAGUUUGAUUUUUUUUCAUCCUUCUCAUUUUAAGUUUGAUUUUUUUUCAUCCUUGUGAUAUAUAAAAAUCAUAAAAUAUAUGAUUAUCAGUUACAUUCUAAUAGAAAUUUAAAGAAAAUACGUACAUUGAACCUGAACCCUCAAAAACCUUAAUAGUUACUGUGAUCACAUUCAACAAUAACCAAAUCAUUACUUUCGAAUUUUGACCCAAUUUGAUAGUCAUAUUAAUUCUAGCUAUUUCAGAUCAGAUACUUAUGCCAUUUUGAUCCAUAUCUGAUUUGCAGAUUUCUUCAGAUAUCAAAAAUGAGAUAUCCGAUCUCGGACUCGAAGCCCAACAACGUGUCCCGCCUGGGCAACCUAGACACAGGUGAAUCUAGAAGCCACCCCUUUAAUAAAGCCUUAAAGACUAAUCCCACACAGUUGGACUUGGACCGAUAGCAAACAGAUCGAGCCCAACCGUUCACUUGGCAGAGCCAUAAAGCUUCGGCGAUCCUAGGCCUGGGUAAUGUAGGUAGUCUAGGAGGCAAUUAUAUUUGAGAUAUUCAUAAGAUACCCUAUUAUAUCUCUGCCGUCUAUUUUCAUAAAAAAAAUGAUGCCUCGAGAUUGUACCCAUCUUAUUAUUUACAAAGGGAAAUAUUCAGGUGCAUGUGUCAUCUUUAUUUGCGUUGUUGUACACAAAAAACAUCCACAACACACGAUUGACAUCCAACGAUCACAAUUAUGUUCGCAUUUACAUAAAGUGCACAUAUAUCAAAAAACUACUAUAGAAUAUUGAAACUUAUACUAUAUUCCCAAAUACAUGGUAAAUUAUUAUUUCCACCAAAAAAUAACAAAUUAGGGUAUGUUACCCCAUCAGCGAAAAAAAACUUCUCCAAACAACAACAUACACUACGAAAAUUCAGUAUUUAAAAAAAUUGCAAUAAAGAAAAUAUUUUGAUGAUUCUUCAAUAUUUGAAUAUUUGCCGCGCACGCGUUCUUACUCAAAAUCUUUUGAUCGAUGCUUCAUUCAAUCCUUACGUCCAUGAAAUUUCCAAAAAUAUAUGAUUAGAAAUUUCACUAUGAAAAGUAUGCAAACAAACCUGUGAGCUUUGAAAUAUUCUUCCAUCUCAUCCUCCGUCCGCAGUUUAUUCGAGUGAUUAUCCAUUAGAGAAGCGAAAAGAGAGAACUAAAAAGUAGAUUCCAGUGACUAUAUAGUUAAUAGAGGCGACUUGCAAUAUAUAUAGG